AACGCACCUUGCGCUCCUUGGUAUUCCGAGGAGCAUGCCUGUUUGAGUGUCAUUAAAUUCUCAACCCCAUCGAUUUGUUUCGAUUGUGGGAUUGGAUUGUGGGGGUUUGCUGGUGGACUCUUGUCUGUCGGCUCCUCUGAAAUGUAUUAGCAAAGGUUGAUGUGCGAACCAGUGUCUCGGUGUGAUAAUUAUCUACGCCGUGGACUAUUUGCCGUUUUUAGCACUGCUUAUAAUCGUCUGUUCAUUCGGACAAUAUAUGACAAUUUGACCUCAAAUCAGGUAGGACUACCCGCUGAACUUAA
rnacentral:rRNA from 1 species